AUUUAUUUAAGGUAAGAUCAAAGCAUUAUCUAUGAUCCUUUUAGUUUACGAAGAAUUUUCAGGAGAUUUGACGAUUUCUUCUUCUAUUUAUAUAGGCCCGCGUUUGAUUUUAUAAACCUGACAGUGCAUAUUUGGUGUUGGGAAUCAUUGUGUUCAAGCUGUCGCUGAUCAAUAUAUUGAUCAGACACUUUGCGUGUUGGUCACGGUGUGGCAACAGGCAACUCAAAUAAAAUUUACAUCAAUUCUAAACAAACAAACGGAUACAAACGAGAUCCGUUGUACGAAGGUAUCACGUGACUCAGAGCUACAGUAUAUUAUAUAAAACUGCAAAUUUUACAGACCUCUAUUACUACUGCUGAUAAAUCAAGUCCCAGUGAUAGAAUAUAUUGCAUUUG